UACGUAGGGUGCGAGCGUUAAUCGGAAUUACUGGGCGUAAAGCGUGCGCAGGCGGUUUUGUAAGACAGGUGUGAAAUCCCCGGGCUUAACCUGGGAACUGCACUUGUGACUGCAAGGCUAGAGUAUGGCAGAGGGGGGUAGAAUUCCACGUGUAGCAGUGAAAUGCGUAGAUAUGUGGAGGAAUACCGAUGGCGAAGGCAGCCCCCUGGGUCAAUACUGACGCUCAUGCACGAAAGCGUGGGGAGCAAACAGG
rnacentral:rRNA from 1 species